UACGUAGGGUGCGAGCGUUAAUCGGAUUUACUGGGCGUAAAGCGUGCGCAGGCGGGCAUGUGCGUCGGAGGUUAAAUACAACGGCUUAACCGUUGAACUGCCUUCGAAACGGCAUGUCUUGAAUGUGGGAGAGGAUGAUGGAAUUCCUGGUGUAGCGGUGAAAUGCGUAGAUAUCAGGAGGAACACCGGUGGCGAAGGCGGUCAUCUGGCCCACUAUUGACGCUGAGGCACGAAAGCGUGGGGAGCAAACAGG
rnacentral:rRNA from 1 species